AACGCUGGCGGCGCGCUUAACACAUGCAAGUCGAGCGAGAACCAGGGCUUCGGCCCUGGGGACAGCGGCGAACGGGUGAGUAACACGUGGGUAAUCUGCCCUCGGUUCUGGGAUAGCCCGGGGAAACCCGGAUUAAUACCGGAUAGCCUCUCGAGCCCUCGGGCCCGGGAGAAAAGGUAGCUUCGGCCUCCGACCGCGGAGGAGCCUGCGGCGGAUUAGCUUGUUGGCGGGGUAACGGCCCACCAAGGCGACGAUCCGUAGCUGGUCUGAGAGGACGAUCAGCCACACUGGGACUGAGACACGGCCCAGACUCCUACGGGAGGCAGCAGUGGGGAAUCUUGCGCAAUGGGCGAAAGCCUGACGCAGCGACGCCGCGUGAGGGAAGAAGGCCUUCGGGUUGUAAACCUCUUUCAGGAGGGACGAAGCCACUCGGGUUAAUAGCCCAGAGGGUGACGGUACCUCCAGAAGAAGCCCCGGCUAACUACGUGCCAGCAGCAGCCGCAGUAA
rnacentral:rRNA from 1 species